GUACACUUAACUCAAGAAGGAGAGGACAGCAUGAGGGAAAAAACGAAGUUUUAGACCACAAAUAGUUACUUUAAAAUUAUUUCCCUUAAGAGUUUGGAAAACUAAUGCUUGAAACUCUUUGAUCGGAGGUCACAGAGGAGGAACCCGCCGCAUCAUGUUAGACCAGAGUAUGGAUCCCAUCUGCUUCUGUUCCAAUGCACAUCUGUUGCCAUGGCAACACGCUCACCUGGAUAAUUAAGUUGUUUAGCAGCCUGGAAGAAAAAAAGGGCUUCCCAGAUUGGAAUGGCACAACAUCCUAACAGAGCAGCAUCUUCAGCUAUCAGCACUAGAAUCUUCAGCAGUCAAAGCAUUAUCACAGGAGCGUCUGAACUGAAGAGUUGGCGAGGAACGCCGGGUGUCGGCGAGGAGGAACCUGCAGCACCAACAGUGCGAUUCUUCACAGCUUUCCUGCUGCUUUUCAUGGCGCCGAAUCAGAAGGCUUCCACCUCAUUUCUGGGAUUCAGACACGUGGCAGCUGGAGAGGGUUGGGCCAAACCCCCGGAGGAGCUGGAUUCCUCCGUCUCUCCUGCAGCGUCGCCGAGGAGGUAACAAACAGAAGCCGGCUGAGUAAAUACCAGGAGCCAAACGGGCGAGGAAGAGGAGCGCGGAGGAUGAAGGCAGUCCUGCGGCUGAGGAGGGAAAAAGUGACAAGAGAAAGCUGAAUGGAAGAGAAUCUUUGAGUGGAAGUAAAAAAGACAGCUGAGAGAAUCAACAAAUGUGUGCAGAAAGAAGCGAGCAUCAAAGCGUCAGCGGGGAAUACAGCAGAGCUUCAGUUCACCUCCUGCCAGCUGGAAGAGAGGAGCGCAGAAAGGAAAAAAUAGCUUUGGUGAAUUAAAAAAGCUUCUGCUCAGAUGCAGUUCAGACUUUCCAGCAAAUAAAAACCUGACAAAUGCUGGCAGAAGCAGCAGACGCACAAACUUCUGCAGUAAAAGUGACACCAGACGCUGUCGAUUACAGUCCUGUCAUUAAAGAAAAGCAAACUAAACCAGAGAGCUGGAUUACCUGUGAUAAUACUAGAGUGAUGCUUUUAGCUGAAAGUGGUCACUAAGAAGGCUGAAGAAUUGUAUUUUAUUUCCUGAAUGCCAUAAAUGUGCUCAACGUUUUAAUACCAAACAAAACAAAGAAUUUAAAGAAUCUCAUGAAAAACAAACUGCAAUGUUAUUAAAAUAUUAGCAUAACUCCAAAUUAGCCAAAAAUAAAAACUCAGUAGAUGACAACUUAGCAAAAAAAAGCUAACAUGUUGCUAAAAUAUUAGCUUGACUCCAAAUUAGCCCAAAACAACUCAGUAGAUGAAAACUUAGCCAGAGAAGCUAACAUGUUGCUAAAUUAUUACCUCAACUCCAAAUUAGCACAGAAAAACCUCA